CACGAACGCUGGCGGCAGGCUUAACACAUGCAAGUCGAGCGCCCCGCAAGGGGAGCGGCAGACGGGUGAGUAACGCGUGGGAAUCUACCCAUCUCUACGGAAUAACGCAUGGAAACGUGUGCUAAUACCGUAUACGUCCUUCGGGAGAAAGAUUUAUCGGAGAUGGAUGAGCCCGCGUUGGAUUAGCGAGUUGGUGGGGUAAAGGCCUACCAAGGCGACGAUCCAUAGCUGGUCUGAGAGGAUGAUCAGCCACACUGGGACUGAGACACGGCCCAGACUCCUACGGGAGGCAGCAGUGGGGAGUAUUGGACAAUGGGCGCAAGCCUGAUCCAGCCAUGCCGCGUGAGUGAUGAAGGCCCUAGGGUUGUAAAGCUCUUUCACCGGUGAAGAUAAUGACGGUAACCGGAGAAGAAGCCCCGGCUAACUCCGUGCCAGCCGCCGCAGUAAUAC
rnacentral:rRNA from 1 species